rnacentral:rRNA from 1 species
UACUAGAGUAGCACUCGCAUAUCAAUAAGCGGAGGAAAAGAAACUAACAAGGAUUCCCCUAGUAACGGCGAGUGAAGCGGGAAGAGCUCAAAUUUGAAAUCUUAAAGGGUUUCCCUUUACGAAUUGUAGUUUAAAGAAGUGUUUUCUGUUGAGGUUUUGGUAAAAGUUCUUUGGAAUAGGACAUCAUAGAGGGUGAGAAUCCCGUAUUUGACCUUUACUUUCAACUUUGUGAUACACUUUCAAAGAGUCGGAUUGUUUGGGAAUGCAGUCCAAGAUGGGUGGUAAAUUUCAUCUAAAGCUAAAUAUUGGCGAGAGACCGAUAGCGAACAAGUACCGUGAGGGAAAGAUGAAAAGAACUUUGAAAAGAGAGUUAAACAGUACGUGAAAUUGUCAAAAGGGAAGCGUUUGACACCAGUGUUGUUUUUCUGAAAAUCAAUUAAAGAACUGUUUAUGCUAAGCUGUUUAGACUUUAUCAGCUAUCUGUUUAGUUUUGAGCUUUUCUUUAAUGCACUUUUCAGUUAACAAGUCAACAUCAAUUUCUUUUGCUGUAAAAAAGCUUGAGGAAGGUGGCUUGAGAUUCGUCUUAAGUGUUUAUAGCCUCUUGCCUAUGCAGUCGGAGAGAUUGAGGUCUGCAGCGUAGAUCCUUCGGGGCUAAAUGCAUUUGUGCUAAGUUAUAGCAUUUUAUAGACAACUUGUUGACUAUGAUUUGUCUUGUAGCUUACUCGCUUAUGUUAUUUUACCUACGCUUAGGAUGUUGAGUAGCGACAUACGCAC